rnacentral:rRNA from 1 species
GAUGAACGCUGGCGGCGUGCCUAAUACAUGCAAGUCGAGCGAACGGACGAGAAGCUUGCUUUUCUGAUGUUAGCGGCGGACGGGUGAGUAACACGUGGAUAACCUACCUAUAAGACUGGGAUAACUUCGGGAAACCGGAGCUAAUACCGGAUAAUAUUUUGAACCGCAUGGUUCAAAAGUGAAAGACGGUCUUGCUGUCACUUAUAGAUGGAUCCGCGCUGCAUUAGCUAGUUGGUAAGGUAACGGCUUACCAAGGCAACGAUGCAUAGCCGACCUGAGAGGGUGAUCGGCCACACUGGAACUGGGACACGGUCCAGACUCCUACGGGAGGCAGCAGUAGGGAAUCUUCCGCAAUGGGCGAAAGCCUGACGGAGCAACGCCGCGUGAGUGAUGAAGGUCUUCUGAUCGUAAAACUCUGUUAUUAGGGAAGAACAUAUGUGUAAGUAACUGUGCACAUCUUGACGGUACCUAAUCAGAAAGCCACGGCUAACUACGUG